rnacentral:lncRNA from 1 species
UUUGCAACUUUUACAAUAGCCCAAUUCAACAACUCUCUAAUAUGGCCGUCAAAUCGAAUUCCAACUAACACAUUUCUCUUUUCUGAUUCUUUUUCCUUCUCAAAAAUCAUCUUGUUGACGGGUCAAAUCGAAUUCCAACCAACACAUUUCUCUUUUCUGAUUCUUUUUCCUUCUCAAAAAUCAUCUUGUUGACGGCCAAUAAUGUAAUUUUUUUUAUUGCCUGACCAUACCAGAGAAAUUUUUGAUAAAUUUAUACCAAUUGCAGUAACCCAGAAAAAAGGGAAUGCUCCAGCUGACAAGACAAAGGAAGUGUAUAGCAAGACACUGGUCCAGAAUAUAAGCUUUGAUCUGAAUAGUCAAAAGCAAAAU